rnacentral:rRNA from 1 species
UACAGAGGUGCCGAGCGUUAGGCGGAAUCACUGGGCUUAAAGCGCGCGUAGGCGGAUGUUUAAGUGUCUUGUGAAAUCCCACGGCUCAACCGUGGAACUGCUGGGCAUACUGGACAUCUUGAGGCACUCAGGGGCGAGCGGAACAAGUGGUGGAGCGGUGAAAUGCGUAGAUAUCACUUGGAACGCCAAUGGUGAAGGCAGCUCGCUGGGGGUGUCCUGACGCUGAGGCGCGAAAGCCAGGGGAGCGAACGGG